UUUCAAGUUUGAGAUUUAUGUACAGUAUUUGUUAACUCCUCGCCAAGUCUGGCGAGGUACUAUUAUGGGGCCAACGCAUAUUUUAUUAUUUUUCUUUCAGUUAACUCGUUUCCUCGUUUAUUCUCUUUCUUCAUCCUGAGCCAUUCCCUCCCCAUUUCCUCUUUCUCUUCUUUUUUUCUCUCAAACCAUUUUCUCUUCUUCGACCAGGCAUUCCACUUCUCUCCAUCAAUUUUUUUUAUUUCUUCCGGACGAAACCUCCCUAUUUCCUUUUCUUUUCUUUCUUCUCCCGAAACUCUCCACUUCUUCGACCUAGGUGAACCCCAGUUCUUUCCAUCACAUGAAUCUCUUCUUCAACCCGCAAGGCCCCUUCUCUCCGUCGAUCUUCCACAUUGCCGUCGUCAUCCAUCCCAAACGGACCAUUGAUGUGUUGAACCCCUUUCCUUGCCAGUGAAUCGUCGUCUAGAAGGUUGUGCCAUUUCGUCCACAAAUUUGCCACAAUAAAGCUCCAAUUUGGACAAAUGUAAUAUACUACAGAGGUAUUUGGCAUGCUUUACAAACUAUUAGCAAGGAGGAGGGUAUUUUGGGUCUAUAUAAGGGGCUUGGAGCGACACUCUUGGCCCGAUGAUUCUACUGUCCUUGUAAGUCUGACUUGUGGAAGUCUUUCAGGAAUUGCAUCAUCAACAUUGUUGGGGAGAAGAAUGUAAUAAAUGAUCUCUUGGUGUCUGUAUUUUAUUUACUUUUUCAUGGAAAUUCUUAGAUUUUGAAAUGUGAGGCCUUUGUAUUAUAGGUUGAUGUUAUGAAAUGUUAUUAUUGAUCUUUCUUUCAUA